GAGGGACCUAUGCACACACCCUAGGACAGCAAUGGCAGACCUUUUAGAGACUUCAGCGGUAACGGAAGCCUGCUGUGGCACUUGUGCCAUACGUCACCACCAUUGCUCUAGGAAGUGUCCUUGCCGGCUGGCUUUCAGGUGCUCCUGUGCCAUGUCCCUCAUCCAGCCCCAAGAAUAGCAGCCGCCAUGGUGGGUGGCCCCCCAGAGCCAACUCGUGCCCUUCACUUGAGCCUAUGGAAGGUGGCAGCCAACUGGAACCUGAUCCUCCCCAGCUCUGUGUCGUUGGCGCCUUACUCUGAGCGCAGGAGCCUGGGUGCAGGAUGUUCAGGUUUGAGGAGGGGUCCGGGCCACAGUCCUAGCCUUUGCCUUCUCUUCCCUCCUCCUUCCUGCCUCCCAGCUGGGGUGGGCUCUCUGGGGUUAGGGGUCCAUUCCUGGAGUAGGGAUGGGUGGCUCAGGGGAUAGGAUUUAAACAUUUUAGAGCAUUCUUUAUUGGGGGCCCUUUGAGGCCCUGUCCAUGAAUAAAUGUGGAAAAAGUUGUUUCAGGAGUUUAACAAGCAUGUCAGGAUUGUUUUUCUGUAUAGCCCAAACUAUCUAUAUCCACAGCUUACUGUAAAAUAUAGGUACCAAAAGCCAGGCCCUUUUAUACUUGUGAAUAUUUCUGUAUCACCUCAUGACAACCUCAUAAAUAUUGUUGACAGAUGGAGCCAUGUUUUGGAAAAAAGCCUUUCCAGACACACACAGUGUGGGAUGGGGUGGCUGUUGCUCAGGUGCUGCACCUGGCUGUGGAACUCGGUAAGCAUGGUUGGAGACUAAGGAAAGAGGGCCAGGCUGUGCCUGUGAUCAGUCAUGGCAGGUGGGAGGUCCCGAGUAUGCUCUAGAGACAUGGGGGUCAAGGUUCACCUGGGGGACAGGCCCUGGGCUGUCACUGUCUUCAUCUCGCAGAGAGGAAGAGGGACCGGAAGGGUUUGGGUGGCAGACCCAGGUUUGAGACACUGCUGGACAGUGCUCUGCAUCGCUGGCUCACGACAAGUGGAGCCCAAACAGGGACCUGAAAUUGAAGCGGCGAGCAGUGAGCAAUCAGAGAAGCCUGCUGUCAAAAAGGACUUGGCUGAGUCGAAACAAGGAGGACACCACUGUCUGGAAUGCCAGUGGGGAAAAUCCUCGGAGAAGCAGGUACCAAUGGGGCACAUAGGAUCCAAGAUGAAAUUUAGCACAGCAAUUCAGUCUUUAUUCAGGGAGAAAGGAAUUAAGGCAAAGAAAAAAACAAUCAU
rnacentral:lncRNA from 1 species